rnacentral:rRNA from 1 species
UACGAAGGGGGCUAGCGUUGCUCGGAAUCACUGGGCGUAAAGCGCACGUAGGCGGGUCUUUAAGUCAGGGGUGAAAUCCUGGAGCUCAACUCCAGGACUGCCUUUGAUACUGAGGAUCUCGAGUCCGGGAGAGGUGAGUGGAACUCCGAGUGUAGAGGUGAAAUUCGUAGAUAUUCGGAAGAACACCAGUGGCGAAGGCGGCUCACUGGCCCGGUACUGACGCUGAGGUGCGAAAGCGUGGGGAGCAAACAGG